rnacentral:rRNA from 1 species
CUACGGGCGGCUCCAGUCGGGAAUAUUGCGCAAUGGAGGAAACUCUGACGCAGUGACGCCGCGUAUAGGAAGAAGGUUUUCGGAUUGUAAACUAUUGUCGUUAGGGAAGAUAAAAGACAGUACCUAAGGAGGAAGCUCCGGCUAACUACGUGCCAGCAGCCGCGGUAAUACGUAGGGAGCAAGCGUUAUCCGGAUUUAUUGGGUGUAAAGGGUGCGUAGACGGGAAGACAAGUUAGCUGUGAAAUCCCUCGGCUUAACUGAGGAACUGCAACUAAAACUAUUUUUCUUGAGUGUUGGAGAGGAAAGUGGAAUUCCUAGUGUAGCGGUGAAAUGCGUAGAUAUUAGGAGGAACACCGGUGGCGAAGGCGACUUUCUGGACAAUAACUGACGUUGAGGCACGAAAGUGUGGGGAGCAAACAGGAUUAGAUACCCUUGUAGUC